AGUGAACGCUGGCGGUAGGCCUAACACAUGCAAGUCGAACGGCAGCACAGUAAGAGCUUGCUCUUACGGGUGGCGAGUGGCGGACGGGUGAGGAAUACAUCGGAAUCUACUUUUUCGUGGGGGAUAACGUAGGGAAACUUACGCUAAUACCGCAUACGACCUACGGGUGAAAGCAGGGGAUCUUCGGACCUUGCGCGAUUGAAUGAGCCGAUGUCGGAUUAGCUAGUUGGCGGGGUAAAGGCCCACCAAGGCGACGAUCCGUAGCUGGUCUGAGAGGAUGAUCGGCCACACUGGAAGUGAGACACGGUCCAGACCCCUACGGGAGGCAGCAGUGGGGAAUAUGGGACAAGGGGCGAAAGCCGGAUCCAGCAAUACCGCGGGGGGGAAGAAGGCUUUGGGGUUGAAAAGCCCUUUUGUGGGAAAAAAAAACAAGCAGUUUAAUACCCCGCUGUCCUGACGGAACCAAAAGAAAAAGCACCGGCUAACUUCGUG
rnacentral:rRNA from 1 species